AAAACGCUGAAACAAAGAGAGGAAGAAAAGGGAGGUGCUGAACAGAAACAAAAAAGAAAGAGGCGCUGAACAGAAACAAAAAGAAAAAAAUGCUGAAACAAAAAAGAGAAGAAAAGGGAGGUGCUCAAGGGCUGAAACAGAAAAGAGAGAGGGCUGGAACUGAAAGGCAGAGGUGCUGAAACAGAAAAGAGAGAGGGCUGAAACUGAAAGGCAGAGGUGCUGAAACUAAAAGACAGAGGCUGAACUGGGAGGACUGAGACGAGAUAUAUUUUCAGCAUUUAUUUUCCUUCGAAUCUCCUCAGAAAAAUGAUGGUGAAUUCGUUUAUGUUGAAUUUAAUUUUUAGCAUUAACUAAAUUUUCUUUAUUCUAGGAAAACGAUGUAAUCUAAUUCCGAACUAUGCUUGCUUUUCUAUGGUAAUUUGAAUUAAUUCUCUUCAUGUUUGUUUGAUUUA